ACAAGGACCAAAGAGAAGAUUCUGGUUUGUAGACAUGUAGAGAGUUCAACAGAAUCAAAGGCGGCAAAGAGUAAAGUAGUGAAAGAUGCAGGUGGAGUUGGAAUGAUACUUAUUGAUGAGACAGAUCAAGAUGUUGCCAUUCCAUUUUUGAUCCCUUCAGCUAUUCUUGGAAUGCAAACAGGAGAAAAGAUUCUAUCCUAUCUCAAGACUACAAGCUAGAAGGAGUGUAUGCCUUGAUCCCUUAGAACAAAUAAUCCGAAGAUGCAUUCGCAUUGUCAAAAGUGUAGCAGUCGACCAUGGUGGAUGUGCCAUGUGCGGUGUGAAAAGGAAUAUUAUGUUGGAUGUUUGAAGGAACAUAACAUGCAAAAUCUAGAGCAGACAAUGAAAUCUUUGGCCAAGGAUUGUGAAUAAUAGUAAUCAUUCAAGUGAUUUGGUUGUGUUAAUUCAUAUGAAUCUUUUUGGGUUAAUCCUGAUUAUUAAUAUUAUUACUAUCUUUUAUGUAUACUCAAACUUGUGAUUUGUUUGUGUUUUCAUGUUUAGUAUAAUGUAUUGUCACCAUAGUUGAUGUCAUCAUGUGACUCCUCGGGUCGGAACAUGUUCCAUUCGAUUAUAUCUAUAAUUAUAUUAUUAUUCUGGUUCUACUUA